rnacentral:pre_miRNA from 1 species
GCAGGGCUCUGACCUAUGACUUGACAGCCAGUGCCCUCUCCCCUCUGGCUGCCAAUUCCAUAGGUCACAGGUAUGU